AUUUUUGCUGCUGUACUGUUGAUUUGCGGAGCUUUAUUUCUAGCUUAUACGAUUUGGUCUUCUUGCUGUGCAUUCUCGUCAAGAAAUUGGUCUAAGCUUGUAGGUCGCACCUCCAAGAUCUGGACAACUCCGUCUCAGCAAGAACACCGAGAAGUAGAGAAGCUAGAAAUCCCUAAUUUGUUCAUCCUAGUAUAAGUGGUAGCGGUGAUAGCUCCUUCUGGUUUUUGGGUCUUGGUAUUUUCUGUAUUUUCAGGAAUUCUCGGAGUAUUGGAGACAAGUUGGGCGCACGAGCACAGGCAAAGGAGAGCAACCUGGGCGAGUGUCAGCAAAGGGCGGUAGGAAGUGGUGCGUGAGCGUACAACUACAUCGAGCACAACAAAUCAGCCACAGGUUUUGUUAUCGGGAGUUGGUACCUCCUGUUUUACUGUUUCCCUUUUGGUGUUAGCUAAAUUACGGUUACUUUACUUCGCAAUAGUUAAACCUUUCAACUAGGAUACUAGUUACCACUUGUUUCCUUCUAGUUUGAUUUGUGUACGUUGUGCACUAGCGAGUCUUCUCUAGAUUGUUGUAGGUGUAGUGGCUGCACUCUGGGAUGAUAGAAUAAGGGCAUGUCCUCGGGUGGGGCAGAGUGUGGGGCUGGGGU
rnacentral:lncRNA from 1 species